GACGAACGCUGGCGGCGUGCUUAACACAUGCAAGUCGAACGGAAAGGCCCCUUUGGGGGUACUCGAGUGGCGAACGGGUGAGUAACACGUGAGUAACCUGCCCUUGACUUCGGGAUAACUUCAGGAAACUGGGGCUAAUACCGGAUAGGAAUCCUUGCUGCAUGGUGGGGGUUGGAAAGCUUCGGCGGUUUUGGCUGGACUGGCGGCUUAUCAGCUUGUUGGUGGGGUAGUGGCUUACCAAGGCUUUGACGGGUAGCCGGCCUGAGAGGGCGACCGGCCACAUUGGGACUGAGAGACGGCCCAGACUCCGACGGGAGGCAGCAGUGGGGAAUAUUGCACAAUCGGCGGAAGCCUGAUGCAGCAACGCCGCGUGCGGGAUGACGGCCUUCGGGUUGUAAACCGCAUUCAGCAGGGGCGAAGCUUGUGGUGACGGUACCUGCAGAAGAAGCACCGGCUAACUACGUG
rnacentral:rRNA from 1 species